GGAUGUGAGGGUGAUCUGGCUGCGACAUCUAUCACCCCAUUGAUCGCCAGGGUUGAUUCAUCUGAUUUGGCUGGCUAGGUGGGUGUCCCCUUCCUCCCUCACUGCUCCAUGUGUAUCCUUCCUGAAGCUGUGCACUUGGUCAAAGAGGAUGACCUUCCCCACUAGAGGAGGACCAUUCUUUGGUCAAGAGUAGCUGUGCUCCCCUGCUAGAACCUCCAAACAAGCUCUCAAGGUUCUGGGUUCAAUCCCCAGUACCUCCUAAAACAGAAAAAGUCCAAGUCAAAUUU
rnacentral:snRNA from 1 species